GAGUUUGAUCCUGGCUCAGAACGAACGCUGGCGGCAGGCUUAACACAUGCAAGUCGAGCGCGUAGCAAUACGAGCGGCAGACGGGUGAGUAACGCGUGGGAAUCUACCCGGAACUACGGAAUAACAUGAAGAAAUUUAUGCUAAUACCGUAUACGCCCUUUUGGGGAAAGAUUUAUUGGUUUCGGAUGAGCCCGCGUUGGAUUAGCUUGUUGGUAGGGUAAUGGCCUACCAAGGCGACGAUCCAUAGCUGGUCUGAGAGGAUGAUCAGCCACACUGGGACUGAGACACGGCCCANACUCCUACGGGAGGCAGCAGUGGGGAAUAUUG
rnacentral:rRNA from 1 species